rnacentral:rRNA from 1 species
AACGAACGCUGGCGGCAUGCCUAACACAUGCAAGUCGAACGAUACCUUCGGUUCUAGUGGCGCACGGGUGCGUAACGCGUGGGAACCUGCCCUUAGGUUCGGAAUAACUCCCCGAAAGGGGUGCUAAUACCGGAUAAUGUCUUCGGACCAAGGAUUUAUCGCCUUUGGAUGGGCCCGCGUUUGAUUAGCUAGUUGGUAGGGUAAAAGCCUACCAAGGCGACGAUCCAUAGCUGGUCUGAGAGGAUGAUCAGCCACACUGGGACUGAGACACGGCCCAGACUCCUACGGGAGGCAGCAGUGGGGAAUAUUGGACAAUGGGCGAAAGCCUGAUCCAGCAAUGCCGCGUGAGUGAUGAAGGCCUUAGGGUUGUAAAGCUCUUUUACCCGGGAUGAUAAUGACAGUACCGGGAGAAUAAGCACCGGCUAACUCCGUG